GAAAUACUCCCUCCGUCCAACAAAAGAUGUCUCAAGUUUGUCAAUUUGAAUGUAUCUAGAUACGAUUUUGUGUAUAAAUGCAUUCAAAUUUAAUCAAAGUCGAGACAUCCUUUGUUGGACGGAUGGAGUAUUUA
rfam:Brachypodium distachyon strain Bd21 chromosome 1, whole genome shotgun sequence.